GACGAACGCUGGCGGCGUGCCUAACACAUGCAAGUCGAACGAGAUCCAACCGGUAGCAAUACUGGUGAAGAUCAAGUGGCGAACGGGUGAGUAGCACGUGAGCAACCUGCCCCGAAGACCGGGACAACACCGGGAAACCGGUGCUAAUACCGGAUAUCCCCACCGAGUCGCAUGGCUUGGUGAGGAAAUGGAUUCCGCUUCGGGAGGGGCUCGCGGCCUAUCAGCUUGUUGGUGAGGUAACGGCUCACCAAGGCUUCGACGGGUAGCUGG
rnacentral:rRNA from 1 species